UGUUUUAGUAUUGCUAGGGUUGGUGAUUGUUUGGAGAUGUGUUUGGGUAUUAGUAUAGAAAUUUUUUUUUGUGAUAGUUUAUUGUAUUGAUGAAGAUUUAUUAGUGUAUGAGGAUUUAAGGGUUUGUACCUUUUGUAUAAGGGUUUAGUGAAAUUUAAUUGUAUAUUUAAUUCUCGGACGUGAAUGAGUUAAAUAAUUUUUAUGAGGUUGUGAUAUUAGUUUAUGAAAGUUAUUUAGGGGUGAGAUGCUUACAAAUUUAUGGUGCUGGUUAUAGGUAAGAAGAAAGAGGAGGAUAAUCUCUUUUUUUUUUGUAAAUUAGUGAUGUAUUGAAGUAAAUAUUGGCUUAGGGGUAGUCAUGGAGUGUGUUAAUACUUAUUUAUUUUUAUUUUAUUAUAAUUGCUGAGAGUUUGAGGUAAUUUUUUAUUCUUAGAUAUAAUGCUGGAAUUAGUAAAAGUGUGGUUUGUUAUAUUUAAUGGUUUAGUAAUAGUCAAUGAAUUUGGCAAAGUUUCAGCUGGAAUGUUUAGUAAAUACAUUUUCUUAUGAAUUAUAUAAGGUAAGGCCUGCUCAAUGCUUGGGUGAAUAGCUGCGAUGAUGUAAUCGUGCUAAGGUAGCGUAAUAAUUAGUUAUUUAAUUGGUAACUGGAAUGAAGGGUUUAACUAGUUGGUACUGUGUUGAUUGUUUUUUUGAAUUUAAUUUUUCAGUGAAAAAGCUGGAGUGGAGUUAGGGGACGAGAAGACCCUUUAAAAUUUAUGCUAUUGUGUUAUAGGAAAUUUAUGGGGGUGAGGGAGCGAUGGUGCAAUGGUGUUAUCUGGGGCGGAGAAUGAAGAGGUUAUCUUCAAUUGAUUGGUGAUUCUUAUGGAAGGUGAUAUGAUUUAUUGAUAAAUGGAAAAAAUUACUUAAGGGAUAACAGCGUAAUUGUUAUGGUGAGAUCGGAUCUAUGUAACAGUUUGCGACCUCGAUGUUGAAUUAAGUGGAGCUGGGGAGUAUAAGAUUUAGUUUGUAGUCUGUUCGACUAAUAAGUACUUACAUGAUUUGAGUUUAGAUCGGCGUGAGCCAGAUUGGUUUCUAUCUUUAAAGUUUUGGGAUCUUUCUAUAGUACGAAAGGAUUUAGAGGGAGGAAUAAUUUUAGGGGGAGAGGAUAGUGAU
rnacentral:rRNA from 1 species